AGGCUGCAACUCGCCUACAUGAAGUCGGAGUUGCUAGUAAUCGCGGAUCAGAAUGCCGCGGUGAAUGCGUUCCCGGGUCUUGUACACACCGCCCGUCACACCAUGGAAGUUGGGGGCGCCCGAAGUUGCCUAAGAAAUAAGGUACCUAAGGCGAAACCAAUGACUGGGGUGAAGUCGUAACAAGGUAAC
rnacentral:rRNA from 1 species